UUCCCAUUACUGUGGGAUAACCUGCCGAAAGGCAGACUAAUACCGCAUAGUCUUCGAUGACGGCAUCAGAUUUGAAGUAAAGNUUUAUCGGUAAUGGAUGGGGAUGCGUCUGAUUAGCUUGUUGGCGGGGUAACGGCCCACCAAGGCGACGAUCAGUAGGGGUUCUGAGAGGAAGGUCCCCCACAUUGGAACUGAGACACGGUCCAAACUCCUACGGGAGGCAGCAGCC
rnacentral:rRNA from 1 species